rnacentral:rRNA from 1 species
ACAUGCAAGUCGAACGAGAAAGCGGGGGCAACUCCGUGAGUAAAGUGGCGACGGGUGAGUAACACGUAGCUAACCUACCCUCGAGCGGGGGAUAACCUGGGGAAACUCGGGCUAAUACCGCAUAACAUCCCAGUGGCACAAGUCAUGGGGAGCAAAGGCCCGCAAGGGCCACUUGAGGAGGGGGCUGCGGCCGAUUAGCUAGUUGGUGAGGUAAUGGCCCACCAAGGCUUUGAUCGGUAGCCGGCCUGAGAGGGCGCACGGUCACACUGGCACUGAAACACGGGCCAGACUCCUACGGGAGGCAGCAGUGGGGAAUUUUGCACAAUGCCCGAAAGGGUGAUGCAGCAACGCCGCGUGAGGGAUGAAGGCCUUCGGGUCGUAAACCUCUUUCGACUGGGAAAAAUGGGCGGGUGAAAAGCCCGUUCUGAUGGUACCGGUGGAAGAAGCCCCGGCCAACUACGUGCCAGCAGCCGCGGUAAUACGUAGGGGGCGAGCGUUGUUCGGAAUUAUUGGGCGUAAAGGGCGUGUAGGCGGUGCGGUAAGUCGGGCGUGAAAUCUCCAGGCUUAACCUGGAGGGGUCGCUCGAAACUGCCGCGCUCGAGUGUGGGAGAGGAAAGCGGAAUUCCCGGUGUAGCGGUGAAAUGCGUAGAUAUCGGGAGGAACAUCUGCGGCGAAGGCGGCUUUCUGGACCACAACUGACGCUGAGGCGCGAAAGCUAGGGGAGCAAACAGGAUUAGAUACCCUGGUAGUCCUAGCCCUAAACGAUGAACACUGGGUGUGGCCCUUCACGGGGCCGUGCCGGAGCUAACGCGUUAAGUGUUCCGCCUGGGGAGUACGGUCGCAAGGCUGAAAC